rnacentral:rRNA from 1 species
AUUGAACGCUGGCGGCAGGCCUAACACAUGCAAGUCGAACGAGUGGCGGACGGGUGAGUAAUGUCUGGGAAACUGCCCGAUGGCGGGGGAUAACUACUGGAAACGGUAGCUAAUACCGCAUACCAUCGGAUGUUCCCAGAUGGGAUUAGCUAGUAGGUGGGGUAACGGCUAACCUAGGCGACGAUCCCUAGCUGGUCUGAGAGGAGGACCAGCCACACGGGAACUGGGACACGGUCCAGACUCCUACGGGAGGCAGCAGUGGGGAAUAUUGCAAAAGGGGCGCAAGCCGGAUGCAGCCAGGCCGCGUGUAUGAAGAAGGCCUUCGGGUUGUAAAGUACUUUCAGCGAGGAGGCGGUACUCGCAGAAGAAGCACCGGCUAACUCCGUGCCAGCAGCCGCGGUAAUAC